rnacentral:lncRNA from 1 species
CUACUCUAAUAAGGCUUUUGAUAUCUAGAGCUCAUAGGUGGGAGACUGCUAAUACAUACUUACAAGACAUUUAUUGCAUAGUCAAACCAUGGAUCCAGAAGAACAAGUCAAUAAUUCAAAUCAAGAUGUGCAUGUGUGGCGAAUGAUGUAUGGUGAUGAUGGUGAUAACAAUGGUGAAAGUCUAAUUCUACUUGUGCUCUUUUGAGGAGAUACAUACCUUUCUUGCUCUUUUGAAACUUUUUGAGGAGAAUGAGAUGCUCUAUAUUUUUUUUCUUUUCUCUCAGGUGGGUAUCUUGUACCCCUAAUUCUACUGUCGGACACUUGUCCAUUUUUACCUCUCGUCUCACUUUUUCUUUUCUUUCGAGGUUCCGGGCACUUGCCCCAUUUUAUUUCCUCGUAUUCUUUCUCUUUUUUUUCUCUCCUUUUUUUAGAGCACUCAUCUCCUAAAAUAAUAUAGCAAGUGGUAGUAACCAAGAUAACUUGAGCAUUUAUUUCACAGGGGAAAACAGGAAUAGGAGAAUGUUUUUGGCUAUUCUCUCCUGGAUUAGGAGUAGAAUAUUUUUGGGUGGUUCUGGAGAUGGAAAUGGGUGGAUAUAUGUGGAUGCGUACUUCCGGAGUAAAAGCAGCAUGUAUGAGUGAACGUGCAAGUGAAUCUUGAUUUAACCACAUGACAAGCUCCUAAGGGUCUACACAGCUUGACCACACUCAAUGCUCAUAAGCAGUAAAAAGUAAAUGUGUGACUCAAAGUCUAGCAAGCAUGUAUAUAUGGCUGUGGUAGGAAUUUAAACUCUCAUCAUACAGGAACUCAUCAUGUGUUAAAGAUUUUCAAAGAUAAAAUUCUCCAGAAUUCUAGCAUCUCUAGGAACAGAUAAACAGCAGCUCAACCUUCCCAUAUCAUAUCCGUUAACAACUUAGACUUCAGAUCAAGUUUUCUUCCCACAAGUUUAGGUUUAAAGCAAGCCUUAAAUUAUAACAGUUAUGUCUAAACUAGAGAAAGAACUCAAUUUUGAGAACUAGUCAUGGCAGAGCAACUAUUCAUCAUUUCCAUGUGAGAGCUUAUCAUGAGGGUUCAUAGCAAACUUUAUUUAUUUAUUUAUUUAGCAAACUAAGGAAAGAUAUAUAUAUAAGCACCAAAUCUUUAUUUGGGUUUUUAUGAUUAUGCAUCUUUUUAUUAUUUGAGUAAAGUAUAAACAUGAGUAGAACACUUAGCUGGAUAAAUGGGGGUGCUCUCCCCCAAGCUGGAUUUUGACGUAAUUUCUCCUGAUGUAGCUAGCAGGUGGCGGAGGUGUAAUUGAAUGUAGGCAGCACCCUAACAGCGAUUAGGAUGUCCUCCGUUUGCUAGUCUUCUUUGAUCCUUCAAUUCUGUGGAGCUCAAAUAGACAACAAAGCUUUGUGGAACUGGUUAAGUGUUAGCAUAAAUAUCUAGCCUUUAUCAUGUUGAGCCUCCUCAAUAAAUGUUACUCUCUUUAGUAGGAUCAUAAUUUUAUUUUUAUAAUUUUAUUUUUAUAGGACAGGAAUAUAUUUAUUUCAUUUUUACGCCACCACAGUGAAUGUACUUAUGGGUUUUAUACCAUGAGCAUACUCACAUGGGGCUUACUAUUUUUAACAUUUUUAUUUUCUUUUUAAGAUGAUAUAAACCUGAUUAACUAAGCAAACUAUUUUAAAUAAUUGAAAGGAAAAUGAUAACUACCAAGUUUACCUCUUGGCAAGGCGUUCGGUGUUUUUGAGUCCUCCGAACGGAACUCUCCGUUUUCUCAGUAGUCCUAGGAUUCGCUGGAUGGCGUAGUUGGUGGUUCCGGCAGCGCCUCCUCUUCGUGUAUAACUAUCUUCUCUCUCCACACCUAACUCGGUGCUACGGUCUCCUCAGGAUAGUUUUGUUCAUGCUAUAUGUCUUCAGACCUUAUCACUUCUCCUUCAUAGUCUCCCCAUCCAUCCUUGAUGAUUUGCCUCCUCUGGUUGCGGUUGUGUCGUCUUCUUCUUGUCCUGACCUGCUUAGAGUCUUUAACUAUAUAGUUAGGGUCAGUAAAAAUAGCAGCGUACCUUCUCAGAGAGGAAGUGCAUGUGGACUUCUCCGGUUUCAAUGUAGAUGAUUGUUUUAACGGUGCUGAGGAACGGCCUCCCAAGGAUGAUGGGUGGAUCGUACUUGUCUUCUCCCAUGUCAAUAACUUUCAACCUUUUGGAAUGUCUGAUCUGCCAUCUGUAGCUGGGUCAUCCUAUUUGGUCAGGAACGGUGACUUAAGUUGACGAUCUUGACCUCCUUGAACUGCAGUGACUAUCUUAGCUGACUCGAUCCACAUUUGCUUGUUCUUGUUCCUCCUAUUGGUCCUCUUCCUUGGUUCAUGUCGGGAUUGCUUUGAGAUUUGUGUAGUCCUGUUCUUGAAGGAAAACGUCUCCUUUCUCCCUUUGAUGUAGAAACUGAUCUUGGCAGCACUAGCGUAGAUGACAGCUCCUGAGGUGUUCAGGAAUGGCCUCCCUAGGAUGAUGGGUGCCCUCUCAUCAGUAUCAGUCCCUAUCACCACGAAGUCUGCUGGGGCAUACAAGGUACCAACUCGAACGUAGAGGUUCUUCAAUAUUCCCUUUGGGAAACUUAGUGUCUGAUCUGCAGGCUGCAAACACAUGGUUGUUUCUCGUAAAGGAUGUGUAAAGAAUUUUUCAUAGAGUACCCUGGGCAUAAUGUUGACGCUAGAGCCAAAGUCGCAGAGUGCUUCUGGGAAGUCCACCAUGCCAAUGGAGAUCGGGAUGAUGGGGCAUCCUGGGUUGUCUCUCUUGACCGGUAGAAGGUCAGUAAUUACUUCCACAAUGGGAUUACUCCAGUAGUUAUGUCCUCAAGCAUCUCAGGGCAGUGAUUGCCUGAGUGUCUAGUAUCUUUAGUGUGUUUGUGCUCGUAGAUCUAGGUUCUUCACUUGGUGGAGUCUGGG